CCUACGGGGGGCAGCAGUGGGGAAUAUUGCGCAAUGGACGAAAGCCUGACGCAGCGACGCCGCGUGAGGGAUGAAGGUCUUCGGAUCGGAAACCUCUGUCAGCAGGGAAGAACGGUCACUGUGCUAAUCAGCAGUGAAUUGACGGUACCUGCAAAGGAAGCACCGGCUAACUCCGUGCCAGCAGCCGCGGUAAUACGGAGGGUGCGAGCGUUAAUCGGAAUUACUGGGCGUAAAGCGCUCGUAGGCGGUAUGACAAGUCAAGGGGGAAAUCCCCGCGCUCAAAGCGGGAACUGCCGUUGAAACUGGCAAACUGGAGUGUGUGAGAGGAUAGGGGAAUUCGAGGUGUAGGAGUGAAAUCCGUAGAUAUCUGGCGGAACAUCAGUGGCGAAGGCGACAAUCUGGCACAUAACUGACGCUGAGGAGCGAAAGCGUGGGUAGCAAACAGGAUUAGAUACCCUUGUAGUC
rnacentral:rRNA from 1 species